rnacentral:rRNA from 1 species
GAUGAACGCUAGCGGCAGGCUUAACACAUGCAAGUCGAGGGGUAACAGGUAGCUUGCUAUGCUGACGACCGGCGAACGGGUGCGUAACGCGUAUAGAAUCUGCCUUGUACAGGAGGAUAGCCUUUAGAAAUGAAGAUUAACACUCCAUAAUGUGUGAUGACGGCAUCGUUAUUACAUUAAACAUUUAUGGGUACAAGAUGACUAUGCGUCCUAUUAGCUAGAUGGUAAGGUAACGGCUUACCAUGGCAACGAUAGGUAGGGGGUCUGAGAGGAUUAUCCCCCACACUGGUACUGAGACACGGACCAGACUCCUACGGGAGGCAGCAGUGAGGAAUAUUGGACAAUGGAGGUAACUCUGAUCCAGCCAUGCCGCGUGCAGGAUGACUGCCCUAUGGGUUGUAAACUGCUUUUAUACAGGAAGAAACUGUUCUACGUGUAGAACACUGACGGUACUGUAAGAAUAAGCACCGGCUAACUCCGUGCCAGCAGCCGCGGUAAUACGGAGGGUGCAAGCGUUAUCCGGAAUCAUUGGGUUUAAAGGGUCCGCAGGCGGUCAAUUAAGUCAGAGGUGAAAUCCCGUCGCUCAACGACGGAACUGCCUUUGAUACUGGUUGACUUGAGUCAUAUGGAAGUAGAUAGAAUAAGUAGUGUAGCGGUGAAAUGCAUAGAUAUUACUUAGAAUACCGAUUGCGAAGGCAGUCUACUACGUAUGUACUGACGCUCAUGGACGAAAGCGUGGGGAGCGAACAGG